UGGGGAAUUUUGGACAAUGGGCGCAAGCCUGAUCCAGCCAUGCCGCGUGAGUGAAGAAGGCCUUCGGGUUGUAAAGCUCUUUCGGUUGGGAAGAAAUUGCCUGGGUUAAUACCUCAGGUAGAUGACGGUACCAGCAUAAGAAGCACCGGCUAACUACGUGCCAGCAGCCGCGGUAAUACGUAGGGUGCGAGCGUUAAUCGGAAUUACUGGGCGUAAAGCGUGCGCAGGCGGUUGUGUAAGUCAGAUGUGAAAUCCCCGGGCUCAACCUGGGAACUGCAUUUGAGACUGCACGGCUAGAGUGUGGCAGAGGGGGGUAGAAUUCCACGUGUAGCAGUGAAAUGCGUAGAGAUGUGGAGGAAUACCGAUGGCGAAGGCAGCCCCCUGGGCCAAUACUGACGCUCAUGCACGAAAGCGUGGGGAGCAAACAGG
rnacentral:rRNA from 1 species